rnacentral:rRNA from 1 species
ACGCUGGCGGCGUGCUUAACACAUGCAAGUCGAACGAUGAUCCCAGCUUGCUGGGGGAUUAGUGGCGAACGGGUGAGUAACACGUGAGUAACCUGCCCUUGACUCUGGGAUAAGCCUGGGAAACCGGGUCUAAUACUGGAUAUGACCUUCUGGCGCAUGCCAUGUUGGUGGAAAGCUUUAUUGCGGUUUUGGAUGGACUCGCGGCCUAUCAGCUUGUUGGUGGGGUAAUGGCCUACCAAGGCGACGACGGGUAGCCGGCCUGAGAGGGUGGACGGCCACACUGGGACUGAGACACGGCCCAGACUCCUACGGGAGGCAGCAGUGGGGAAUAUUGCACAAUGGGCGCAAGCCUGAUGCAGCGACGCCGCGUGGGGGAUGAAGGCCUUCGGGUUGUAAACCUCUUUCAGUAGGGAAGAAGCGAAAGUGACGGUACCUGCAGAAGAAGCGCCGGCUAACUACGUGCCAGCAGCCGCGGUAAUACGUAGGGCGCAAGCGUUAUCCGGAAUUAUUGGGCGUAAAGAGCUCGUAGGCGGUUUGUCGCGUCUGCCGUGAAAGUCCGGGGCUUAACUCCGGAUCUGCGGUGGGUACGGG